rnacentral:snRNA from 1 species
UUUGGUCCCAAGGCUCGCUU